UACGAAGGGGGCUAGCGUUGUUCGGAAUUACUGGGCGUAAAGCGUAUGCAGGCGGAUCGUUAAGUCGGGGGUGAAAUCCCGAGGCUCAACCUCGGAACUGCCUUCGAUACUGGCGGCCUUCGAGUCCGGGAGAGGUGAGUGGAACUCCGAGUGUAGAGGUGAAAUUCGUAGAUAUUCGGAAGAACACCAGUGGCGAAGGCGGCUCACUGGCCCGGUACUGACGCUGAGAUACGAAAGCGUGGGGAGCAAACAGG
rnacentral:rRNA from 1 species